rnacentral:sRNA from 1 species
CUUCCACCCUCGAGACGUAACUCUUAGUUUCCCUUUCCCUGGUAGCCUUUUUGUGUGUAACCUUGUCGCAGAAUUGCUAACGUGGCUCACAUUACGAUGUCGCAACAAAACGCCUUUCUAUAUGCAUAAAGAAACGGUGAGACUUCAGGGAGUACAGGAGACCACCGGGACUACAUAAAUGAACAGGGGAAUGAAAACUACACAAAGCCGCAUACACAUAGGUUGGACAGUCGGGAAACGGUCGUUUCUGUGUUGACAAUUCUCCUACGCGUUUUGACUUCUCCAUAUUCAGCCUCGGAGUAGCCUCCGCCUCUUUGCUAGACACUCGGUCAGUAUCCUUAUGCACACUCAACAACCACACCUGUACCAAACAAAAUGACAGGCCAUGAUGGCACACCAAGAAAAUGAUUCCCAUAUGAAAUAGAAUCCAUAGCAAAGGCCUUGGAUAUUCAUCACCAGGCGUCUCAUACCUAGGACUUAAACGCUCCUAUUCUACAUUUCUGCCUGAAGAACAUGAGAAAUGUGAGGACAAGAAAUUCGCUAGCCAGCAUAAUCGCAGAAUAUCCACACCGUGCAAGACGUGAAUAUCAAUCAAAAACCAAUAAAGAAAGAACGUUUCGAAAUAUAUAAACCUCGCCCCAUUCCUGAUUGCCCUCAGAACCAUUUAACUUAACCUACAGAAUCCCGAUCCACAGAAAAAAAAGACAUUAGGAACUAGUUAUUAACGAGUGUCAUCAGUUGGGAAAUCAUAAAUAAAGUAAAAAGCCCCCAUCCCGCCCUACCGGAUAAAUGACAGAUAAGAAAGUAAAAAAUUGGGUAUCAUUGUUGUGCAAUGCCAAACGUUAACCAAUCCUAUUCACCCAGGAAGUAUCAUCAGCCGAAACAAAAGUAGACAAGACAAGCAGAGCAGCCGGAAGAUAGUCACAGACGCCUUA